rnacentral:snoRNA from 1 species
NNNCGGUGAUGAUGCUAACUAGCUCACUUUGAGUCCUUGUGAAAAGACCUGAUCAUCUGAGCGAC